AGAAUGCCAAAGAGCAGCAGGAUGGAUCCAGCAUCCUCUCCUGAUAAAAGAGGGCUAGAAGACGGGAGGCUCCGGGAAGUCUACUGGAGUCAUGAAGACACUGAAAAGUGAUGAAUCCACAUAACCAUGACACUGGAAAUGAAGUUUGAGUGGCAGUCAGAAUCUGGGAGGAAGCAUUGCUAAGUGAAAAUCUUAUGGAGCUUGACUAAAAAUCCCUGUCAGGAACCGUCAAAAGCUGUGUCCCUGACAUGAAAAAUCUUGCUGGAAGUUGAGAGAGGUUUAUGCCUACUCCGUGAUCCGGGAACACAAGACCUUUACCAACCAAAAAAGUGGAUAGCUGUUCUUCUGCUGUGAAGGUUAAUAAAGAACGCCAGAAGUGCCAAGCAAUUAACAACCCCAGAAGCAACCCUUAACCAAUGAUUAAAUAAAGUGGAUGAUUACAUACCCAAGCUCCUUCAACUCCCAGGGACAUAAUUCUGAGGGAUGGAAAACAAACUGAAACUGGCUCAAGUGAAUGCUCACUGGAAGGCUUACUGGAAAACUUACUGGAAGGAUGUGAGGACAUGUUCGGGAAUCUAUUUGCAGAAAACAUAUUCAGCCCUGUCCACCACAGCCAGCUGGCUGAAGAGCUCAAAAGGCAAGAAAUCAGCAAGAGAGAGAGAUGAAGCAUGAGAAAUGAGCAAAAAACACCCAGCACAUCAUAAUCUUGGACAGUUUAGCAGUACAUGAAAAUAGAUGGUCCUCGCCCCAAGGGACUGCAGUAACCCUGAAUAAACAGGAUGUCUCUCACUUUUAGCAGUUCUUUCUGUGCUAGUAUUGGGGAAAUAUAUUUUUGGCUGCAUGCAAAAUGGUAAAAGACAUCUAUUAAGAAAAUGAAAACAAUGCUUCUGUUUUAGACGAAGCUUUUGAAGGUUUAAGGAUCACCUAUUUAUUGACAAAAUUGUUUCCGUGGCUUAAAAAUAAAAUACAAACAAAUACUACAGGUAU
rnacentral:lncRNA from 1 species